AAUGGCUUGAGAAUUCAUAUUUCGUCUUGUCUUGUGCUUUACCAAGUAAUCCUUGACCAUGCCAAAGCCAUAACGUGCCAGCUGGAACUCAUCUACUUGAGGUGGCUGCAACUGGUUAUUUCUUCUCGCCGGUCCGUGUUGAUGUCAGUGCAAGAAACCCGGGGAAGGUUCAAGCUGCACUGACUGAAACCAGAAGAGGUCUAGCUGAGUUGUCGUUGGAGCCUUUGAGAGAGGAAGAUUACUAUGAG